rnacentral:rRNA from 1 species
UACCAGCACCCCGAGUGGUCGGGACGUUUAUUGGGCCUAAAGCAUCCGUAGCCGGUUCUACAAGUCUUCCGUUAAAUCCACCUGCUUAACAGAUGGGCUGCGGAAGAUACUAUAGAGCUAGGAGGCGGGAGAGGCAAGCGGUACUCGAUGGGUAGGGGUAAAAUCCGUUGAUCCAUUGAAGACCACCAGUGGCGAAGGCGGCUUGCCAGAACGCGCUCGACGGUGAGGGAGUGAAAGCUGGGGGGAGCAAACCGG